AUGGUCACAACAGUCCGUGUGUUGCCAUGGUUAUUGUGGCCUAGUUUAUUGUGGCCACUAGAAAAACGUGGACAAAGAACUACAGUGACUACAACCAAACAACUAAACAAUACAAUAAGGAAAUAAAUAAGCAAGGAACUAACGCUAGGCUAUUACGGCUAUUACACAUAUUACAUCCACUGGGCAUCAAAGUUCACCACCAGUGCAAAUAUGGGGAACAAAGCAGCAUAUUACAUACACCAGCCGUCUAAAUUGGCCACCAGUGCAAAUAAACGCGGCAGCAAAACAAGUCCAUAACUCAAACAACUUCAGAAUAGCUCAAGACAUGAGACUGCUCUGAAGGCCUUGUUUUCACUCCAGAUUUUUCCAUCUCCCACUCAAAUGACUGAUUCACAGGAAGAGUAGUUUAAUGUACAAACAUUAUCGACAAAUGGAAAUGUAAUGAAGAAAUGGAUGGGCAAGAUAUCAUUCAAAUAUAUGAUGCCUGGUUAAACAUGAUGGCAUUGCACAUUUCACAUAUAUUAUGGCUAGCUAAAAGACAUGAGACCGCAUAAUUCCCAUAUAUGAUAUAGAAACUAAACAAGUGGCACUACAGAACAUGUCUAAACUAAGGAGAUGACAUAUAUGAUGUCAAAAGUAGGCACUACAAGGCAACAUAUGCAUGAUACGACUAACAUCAUCAUGCCAAGGUAGAGCAAACACCUUGCGGGGUAAAUAAGAGUGGUCAGCUACGUCUAAAUCCGCCUCAGAACAGAUAUCUUCCUCUGGAUUACAAUCUAGAGAGGGGAGGGGGAGGGUUUGCCAUUGAACCCACCAUGGAGCGAUGUUGCAUGACAUUGUAUUGGCGCGC
rnacentral:lncRNA from 1 species